UACGUAGGGGGCAAGCGUUGUCCGGAAUCAUUGGGCGUAAAGCGCGUGUAGGCGGCUCGGUAAGUCUGCUGUGAAAGUCCAGGGCUCAACCCUGGGAUGCCGGUGGAUACUGUCGAGCUCGAGUCCGGAAGAGGCGAGUGGAAUUCCUGGUGUAGCGGUGAAAUGCGUAGAUAUCGGGAGGAACACCAGUGGCGAAGGCG
rnacentral:rRNA from 1 species